UACGGAGGGUGCAAGCGUUGUUCGGAAUUACUGGGCGUAAAGAGCAUGUAGGUGGCCAUAUAAGUCAGAUGUGAAAUACCUUGGCUUAACUAAGGGGGGUCAUUUGAAACUGUAUGGCUUGAGUACGGGAGAGGAGAGUGGAAUUCCUAGUGUAGAGGUGAAAUUCGUAGAUAUUAGGAGGAACACCGGUGGCGAAGGCGACUCUCUGGACUGAUACUGACGCUGAGAUGCGAAAGCGUGGGGAGCAAACAGG
rnacentral:rRNA from 1 species